rnacentral:rRNA from 1 species
AUACGUAGGGUGCAAGCGUUAAUCGGAAUUACUGGGCGUAAAGCGUGCGCAGGCGGUUUUGUAAGACAGAGGUGAAAUCCCCGGGCUCAAACUGGGAACUGCCUUUGUGACUGCAAGGCUAGAGUACGGCAGAGGGGGAUGGAAUUUCGCGUGUAGCAGUGAAAUGCGUAGAUAUGCGGAGGAACACCGAUGGCGAAGGCAAUCCACUGGGCCUGUUCUGGCGCUCAUGCACGAGAUCGGGGGGAGCAAACAGGAUUAGAUACCCUGGUAGUCCACGCCCUAAACGAUGUCAACUGGUUGUUGGGUCUUCAUUGACUCAGUAACGAAGCUAACGCGUGAAGUUGACCGCCUGGGGAGUACGGCCGCAAGGUUGAAACUCAAAUGAAUUGUCUGGG